CAGUCGCCGCGGUAAUACGUAGGGUGCAAGCGUUAAUCGGAAUUACUGGGCGUAAAGCGUGCGCAGGCGGUUUGUUAAGACAGAUGUGAAAUCCCCGGGCUCAACCUGGGAACUGCAUUUGUGACUGGCAAGCUAGAGUGUGGCAGAGGGGGGUGGAAUUCCGCGUGUAGCAGUGAAAUGCGUAGAUAUGCGGAGGAACACCGAUGGCGAAGGCAGCCCCCUGGGCCAACACUGACGCUGAGGCACGAAAGCGUGGGGAGCAAACAGGAUUAGAUACCCGAGUAGUCCCUGUCUCUUAUAA
rnacentral:rRNA from 1 species